UUCGGGAGGGCGCUUACCACUUUGUGAUUCAUGACUGGGGUGAAGUCGUAACAAGGUAACCGUAGGGGAACCUGCGGUUGGAUCACCUCCUUACCUUAAAGAAGC
rnacentral:rRNA from 10 species